GCCCUUUAGUUAUUCUCUCAUUAAUUCCAAAGAGUUUUCUUUCUUUUCUCCAAAACUCAAAUUCCAAACAAAAAUUUUCAAGUCUAAUCAUCACCCAUCAUACAACAACGAGCAAGUUUGAUAUGAGCAUCAAAUGUAUGGCCACCGAAGUACCUGAACAAACAACGACUAGUUAGAGAGCCUUGUUGUCCACCACCUCCAUGACCAGAGCCUUUAUAGAUGUAUGCACUGUUCGGUCAAAGAUGGCACGUGCAUCAAGAUUCCAAUUAAAAGUGAUUGUCGAGCUCGGGCCAUUAAUCAAAAAACAUGAUCAUGCAGUCUGGAGUAUACCUAUAGUCGACAUAAAGUUUGAAAGAUGACACUUCUAAUAUGCAUAAUCUUUAAGUUAGAGUGAUGAUUAGGACUAUGCAUUCUGCAUAUAAUAAAUGUAGGUGCGAUACUAAUUGUCCCUAAAGCGACUCUUGUAGAAAUCAAAAGAGACACAAGAGGUGCAUUAUGCAUUUUGGAUCUCUUGUACACCCUUUGCAAGUUUUAUGACUUGCCUUUUCUUAGUUAGGAUCACAGUUUAUCUUUUAGAAACAUAUAUAUACAUAUUAUUCUACAUAACAUGCAGUGAAUUUGCACACAAAUAUAUACAUGUACAACAAAAAUCAUGAUAAAGAUUUACCUCUCAUAAUGCCAGUUAGGGAACCUCCACCUUUUAUUAGCCAAAACAUCAUGGGAGAGCUUGUAAUCCAUAGUAAUGUGGAGGCAUAAUCGUUGGUCCUUUUUACACCUUGUACAAGUCAUGAACUCGCCCCG
rnacentral:lncRNA from 1 species